rnacentral:rRNA from 1 species
GGCCUGAGAGGGUGAWCGGACACACUGGAACUGAGACACGGUCCAGACUCCUACGGGAGGCAGCAGUAGGGAAUAUUGCUCAAUGGGGGAAACCCUGAAGCAGCAACGCCGCGUGGAGGAUGAAGGUUUUAGGAUUGUAAACUCCUUUUGUAAGAGAAGAUUAUGACGGUAUCUUACGAAUAAGCACCGGCUAACUCCGUGCCAGCAGCCGCGGUAAUACGGAGGGUGCAAGCGUUACUCGGAAUCACUGGGCGUAAAGAGCGCGUAGGCGGGAKAGUAAGUCAGAUGUGAAAUCCUGUAGCUUAACYACAGAACUGCAUUUGAAACUACUAUUCUAGAGUAUGGGAGAGGUAGGUGGAAUUCUUGGUGUAGGGGUAAAAUCCGUAGAGAUCAAGAGGAAUACUCAUUGCGAAGGCGACCUGCUGGAACAUUACUGACGCUGAUGCGCGAAAGCGUGGGGAGCAAACAGGAUUAGAUACCCUGGUAGUCCACGCCCUAAACGAUGAAUGCUAGUUGUUGCCCUGCUUGUCAGGGCAGUAAUGCAGCUAACGCAUUAAGCAUUCCGCCUGGGGAGUACGGUCGCAAGAUUAAAACUCAAAGGAAUAGACGGGGACCCGCACAAGCGGUGGAGCAUGUGGUUUAAUUCGAGGAUACGCGAAGAACCUUACCUAGGCUUGACAUUGAUAGAAUCCGCUAGAGAUAGUGGAGUGCUGGCUUGCCAGAGCUUGAAAACAGGUGCUGCACGGCUGUCGUCAGCUCGUGUCGUGAGAUGUUGGGUUAAGUCCCGCAACGAACGCAACCCUCGUCCUUAGUUGCUAGCAGUUCGGCUGAGCACUCUAAGGAGACUGCCUUCGUAAGGAGGAGGAAGGUGAGGACGACGUCAAGUCAUCAUGGCCCUUACGCCUAGGGCUACACACGUGCUACAAUGGGACAUACAAARAGAUGCAAUACCGCGAGGUGGAGCAAAUCUCWAAAAUGUCUCUCAGUUCGGAUUGUAGUCUGCAACUCGACUACAUAAAGCUGGAAUCGCUAGUAAUCGYRAAUCAGCAAUGUYRCGGUGAAUACGUUCCCGGGUCUUGUACUCACCGCCCGUCACACCAUGGGAGUUGUAUUCGCCUUAAGUCGGGAUACUAAAUUGGUUACCGYCCACGGCGGAUG